rnacentral:rRNA from 1 species
GACGAACGCUGGCGGCGUGCCUAACACAUGCAAGUCGAACGGAGUUCCUUCGGGGACUUAGUGGCGAACGGGUGAGUAACGCGUGAGAAACCUGCCUUUCAGUGGGGGACAACAGUGGGAAACUACUGCUAAUACCGCAUAAUGUUAUUUGGGGGCAUCCCUGAAUAACCAAAGAUUUAUUGCUGAAAGAUGGUCUCGCGUCUGAUUAGCUAGUUGGUGAGGUAACGGCUCACCAAGGCGACGAUCAGUAGCCGGUCUGAGAGGAUGAACGGCCACAUUGGGACUGAGAUACGGCCCAGACUCCUACGGGAGGCAGCAGUGGGGAAUAUUGGGCAAUGGGCGAAAGCCUGACCCAGCAACGCCGCGUGAAGGAAGAAGGCCUUCGGGUUGUAAACUUCUUUUACCAGGGACGAACAAAUGACGGUACCUGGAGAAAAAGCAACGGCUAACUACGUGCCAGCCGCCGCAGUAAAAC